UUAUUUUAGCGGCGGACGGGUGAGUAACGUGUGGGUAACCUGCCUUUUACUGUGGAAUAAUCGUUGGAAACGACGACUAAUACCGCAUACGAUUUUCUGAAGGCAUCUUUGGGAAAAGAAAGGAAAUAUUCGGUAAAAGAUGGGCCCGCAUCUGAUUAGCUAGUUGGUGAGAUAAUAGCCCACCAAGGCAACGAUCAGUAGCCGACCUGAGAGGGUGACCGGCCACAUUGGGACUGAGACACGGCCCAAACUCCUACGGAAGGCAGCAG
rnacentral:rRNA from 1 species